GCCGCUGUAGCGUAAUGGUAGCGCGUUGCUUUCCUAUUUCUUAGUAGGCAAAGGUUGCGGGUUCGAUCCCCGUCAGUGGUU